UAAGUACAUCUACCCCCGGUACUUCCACCCCCAGUACUUCUUCAACAAAGACGUCUUCACCAGCCACCCCAA
rnacentral:tRNA from 1 species